rnacentral:rRNA from 1 species
UUGAAAGGGAAACGAUUGAAGUCAGUCGUGCUGGCGCGAAAUCAACCUUCUCGUCUUGAGAUCACAUGGCGUGGCGAGCCUCAAAACCGUCACGAAGCGUGAACUCUUGGUGAAAUGGAGCACUUUCGUGUCCGCUGGUUAACAUCAAUUUCGAACGUCAUAAAAAGGCUGGAGGGAUGUGGCUCCUUCGGGAGUGUUAUAACCUUUAGCGGAAUGUGGUGUUCGGGAUUGAGGAUUGCAACGAAUACCUUUAGGGCUGUUCCACCUGGCUUCUCUUUGGUAUCCUGGUGACGACAGCUUGCUGUCUUCGUUAGGAUUCGCCUUUGAACAGGCUAGAGUGUGAGCAAAUUCGUUAAGGAUGUUGACGUA